rnacentral:rRNA from 1 species
CCUACGGGAGGCAGCAGUGAGGAAUAUUGGUCAAUGGACGGAAGUCUGAACCAGCCAUGCCGCGUGCAGGAAGACGGCUCUAUGAGUUGUAAACUGCUUUUGUACAAGGGUAAACCUGAAUACGUGUAUUCAGCUGAAAGUACUGUACGAAUAAGGAUCGGCUAAAUCCGUGCCAGCAGCCGCGGUAAUACGGAGGAUCCAAGCGUUAUCCGGAUUUAUUGGGUUUACAGGGUACGUAGGCGGAUUUAUAAGUUAGAGGUGAAAUGUUCGAUCUUAACUCUGGAACUGCCUCUAAUACUGGUGAUCUAGAGAGUAGAUGCGGUAGGCGGAAUGUAUGGUGUAGCGGUGAAAGGCUUAGAGAUCAUACAGAACACCGAUUGCGAAGACAGCUUACCAAUCUAUAUCUGACGUUGAGGCACGAAAGCGUGGGGAGCAAACAGGAUUAGAUACCCGAGUAGUC